rnacentral:rRNA from 1 species
GUGGGGAAUCUUGCGCAAUGGGCGAAAGCCUGACGCAGCCAUGCCGCGUGAAUGAUGAAGGUCUUAGGAUUGUAAAAUUCUUUCACCGGGGACGAUAAUGACGGUACCCGGAGAAGAAGCCCCGGCUAACUUCGUGCCAGCAGCCGCGGUAAUACGAAGGGGGCUAGCGUUGCUCGGAAUUACUGGGCGUAAAGGGCGCGUAGGCGGAUCGUUAAGUCAGGGGUGAAAUCCCAGAGCUCAACUCUGGAACUGCCCUUGAUACUGGCGAUCUUGAGUGUGAGAGAGGUAUGUGGAAAUCCGAGUGUAGAGGUGAAAUUCGUAGAUAUUCGGAAGAACACCAGUGGCGAAGGCGACAUACUGGCUCAUUACUGACGCUGAGGCGCGAAAGCGUGGGGAGCAAACAGGAUUAGAAACCCUGGUAGUCC